AGUGAACGCUGGCGGUAGGCCUAACACAUGCAAGUCGAACGGCAGCACAGUAAGAGCUUGCUCUUACGGGUGGCGAGUGGCGGACGGGUGAGGAAUACAUCGGAAUCUACUUUUUCGUGGGGGAUAACGUAGGGAAACUUACGCUAAUACCGCAUACGACCUACGGGUGAAAGCGGGGGAUCUUCGGACCUUGCGCGAUUGAAUGAGCCGAUGUCGGAUUAGCUAGUUGGCGGGGUAAAGGCCCACCAAGGCGACGAUCCGUAGCUGGUCUGAGAGGAUGAUCAGCCACACUGGAACUGAGACACGGUCCAGACUCCUACGGGAGGCAGCAGUGGGGAAUAUUGGACAAUGGGCGCAAGCCUGAUCCAGCCAUACCGCGUGGGUGAAGAAGGCCUUCGGGUUGUAAAGCACUUUUGUUGGGAAAGAAAAGCAGCAGGUUAAUACCCCGCUGUUCUGACGGUACCCAAAGAAUAAGCACCGGCUAACUUCGUG
rnacentral:rRNA from 1 species